GGUGGUUCUUGGGUGACACACCCCGGAAUCAGGCUCGCUCCUCUCUGCUUCUGGGUGCAUCACCUGAGAACCCCA
rfam:Myotis davidii contig161489, whole genome shotgun sequence.